rnacentral:rRNA from 1 species
AACCUCCGCAAUGCGAGCAAUCGCGACGGGGGGACCCCAAGUGCCACUCUUAACGGGGUGGCUUUUCUUGAGUGUAAAAAGCUUUUGGAAUAAGGGCUGGGCAAGACCGGUGCCAGCCGCCGCGGUAACACCGGCAGCCCAAGUGGUGAUCGUUAUUAUUGGGUUUAAAACGUCCGUAGCUGGUCUAGUAAAUUCCUGGGUAAAUCGAAUUGCUUAACAAUUCGAAUUCCGGGUAGACUGCUAGACUUGGGACCGGAAGAGGUCAGAAGUACUUCUGGGGUAGG